rnacentral:lncRNA from 1 species
CUGUCAGACAUACACUGGGUCAUGCCACCACCAGGGCUUCAGUGGAGGAAGUCACGGUGAGCCUGAAGGCCUGAUAUCACCUACCAAGAGCCUCAGGGAACCCAGCCAGCAAAGCAGCAGCGGCCUUGCUCUUAUGACAUAAAACAGUUUUUGGAGAGUGCCCAGAACCAGGGUGACAGAAAACUCUGUGAGGGUUUCAAUAAGGUGCUGAAACAGUGCAGACUUGCAAACAGAUUGGUC